UAGGGAAUCUUCCGCAAUGGACGCAAGUCUGACGGAGCAACGCCGCGUGAGUGAAGAAGGAUUUCGGUUCGUAAAACUCUGUUGUUAGAGAAGAACAGCGCAUAGAGUAACUGUUAUGCGUGUGACGGUAUCUAACCAGAAAGCCACGGCUAACUACGUGCCAGCAGCCGCGGUAAUACGUAGGUGGCAAGCGUUGUCCGGAUUUAUUGGCCGUAAAGCGAGCGCAGGCGGUCAAUUAAGUCUGAUGUGAAAGCCCCCGGCUCAACCGGGGAGGGUCAUUGGAAACUGGUUGACUUGAGUGCCGAAGAGGAGAGUGGAAUUCCAUGUGUAGCGGUGAAAUGCGUAGAUAUAUGGAGGAACACCGGUGGCGAAAGCGGCUCUCUGGUCUGUAACUGACGCUGAGGCUCGAAAGCGUGGGGAGCGAACAGG
rnacentral:rRNA from 1 species